rnacentral:lncRNA from 7 species
ACAUUUGCAAGGAGGGGGCUGUGGGCAGCAGAAAGGGAAUACUUUUCAUUUGCUCCUACUGAAACUGUCUUACGAAUCCCAAAAGUUUUAAGCUAGAUGUCAAUCAAAAGGCAGCAGCUUUAUGCCACUUACAUGCCUUCUGAAAGAGAUCUAUGUUUCUUAUAGUGGGGAAGCAAACAAACAAACAACUGCCUCAAAUGGAUUUGGGAAUUUUGAAAUGCUGAAUUUAAUAUGUGAAAUCUGUGCUGUUAGCAUUCAGAAUAAAGCGGUCUGAAAUGCCCUGCUGUCACAGCACAAAACCAAGAGCACCUCUUCAUCUUCCCUCCGGCCAACGAAAGGGGACAGGAUUUUCAGUGAAACCCAGAUGUUGCUGUGAGUAUAUGUGUGCAUUUAUUAACAGAUAAUAGUGGAGGACUGCAAUUUAUAUCUGCAGAAGCUGAAAUAAUUAAGGAGGGUUGGGUAUUAAUGGAUGUAUGUUUUGAACAAUCUCAAAAACUUCUUUGUGUGGAAAAUUAAGAUCCUUGCUGAUAUUGAAAUAUCUCAGAUUGUUGUAAACCCAUGUUUCUAAUAUUUUAACUGGGAAUCACUUUCAUGGUCCGGCACUGCUGAUGCUGCCCCUUCAGAAGCCAGAAAAUGUCAGAUAUCUCAGUAUUUUCAGGAUUGUUUUGUUCCCAUUCAGGCUGACAGACAAAAAGGAGGGUUCUGAGGGAAGCUCUUAUUUCCUCCCUUCCCAUCUCCCUUUGCUCUUGGAAUAGCACCAUUGUACAGCACCGUUAUGCCAAAUUUUUUACAUAGAGACAGACUGGCCUGUCCCACAUUGUCAUUUCGACACUGUUUUUAACAAAGAUGUAUUUUCUGAGGAUCAUGUUUGAGAAUAAAUGGCUUUGGGUCUAGCACUAGUAAAAGAAGAAAAGCAAAUCCAAAGAACCCACUCAUUGAGUUCAGAGUAGCUACAGGGCAAUGCUGCAUCUUGCUUUUUAGGUGAAAUCUGCAAUUUUGUUUAUCCAGAGCAAUCUGUAACAGCUCUAUGGUAAAGCUGCUUUGAGGUUUAGUUUUGAAGUUUACUGCUCCCAGUUUUCAUUUAUUCCAUCAUAAUACAUGCAUAAAACAUUUUUAUUAUGUGGAUAGUAAUUUGCAUGAGCACGAGGACUUUAGCUCAAAUGCUCAUGAACAAGACUGUUCUUCAGUCGGGUCAACUGGAAGUUAUUCUGCUUUACUACAGGGCUUUCAGUUAAUUAAAUUCAAAGAACCUGUUCAACUGCUAAGGCCUGUUAUACUCCAGAUAAGGAAAAAAAUACAUUUUUUCAUCAGUCUCUGGGGACAGACACUGCUGAUGCUCCUCCUGCUGUAGCCACAAUACAGUGGGCCACAAUACAAGUGAAAAGGAGGAAGAAUGUCCUGCCCAAAGUAUUUCAGUGGGACAUACACGUCUGUGAUGAACACAGAAAGGACUAUUCAGAUGCAUUGUGUUAUAUGGAAUGAACUACAUUUCUGAUCUUCUAAUGCAAUGAAUAUUGUGCUCUGCAAGUAAUGUAAUUAACACAGGAAAAGAGGAGUGAACUGCAUUUACAGUAGAAGUGAACUUUACCUAAAAUUAUCAUUUCAGAAAAUUGACUGUUCUUCUAACUGUUGGUAAUUAUUUUUUCCUUUUUUUUCUUGAGUUCCUCUUUAUUUGGAUAGGUAAUAAAAUUAGUUUUGAUCCUGCACACUGAAGGAGAAACCCUAGUGGCCACAUUCUGACUCUACUUGAACUAGUGUAGGAGCUCAUACGGAAAAUUAAGUGAAAAUCAAUUAACAGUUGCCCCGGGCAUUUGAAACAAAUGCCAGGAAUCCCUAAAUGUUUCUCAGUUCUGUAUAAAUCAUAGCUGACAAGUGGUGGUAUCUCUGCUUCCACUGAAAAUUUGCUUUGUUACAGUGAAAAUUCUUUUAUUAUAUAUAGUUGCUGAUGUACAUAUAUAUAUGUAUUAACCGUCUACAUUUUCUCAUGUGCAUCUUCCAUAAAUCUCCUUUUGAGUCUCUUCCAAAGAAACUAACCUAUGCUUUUGAAGAAAAGAUGACUACCUGGUUGAAGAAAAGGAGUAAUGGAGAACACAUUCUUCAAGAGUGCUGACAUGGGAGUUUGAAGACGGUGGAAGGAAUUUAUGGACUGUAUUUACUGAUGUAAUUCAAUAAUUAAAGAUAAUUGUACAAUUUCUC